UACGUAGGGUGCGAGCGUUGUCCGGAAUUAUUGGGCGUAAAGAGCUUGUAGGCGGUUUGUCGCGUCUGCUGUGAAAUCCCAGGGCUUAACCCUGGGCUUGCAGUGGGUACGGGCAGACUAGAGUGUGGUAGGGGAGACUGGAAUUCCUGGUGUAGCGGUGAAAUGCGCAGAUAUCAGGAGGAACACCGAUGGCGAAGGCAGGUCUCUGGGCCACUACUGACGCUGAGAAGCGAAAGCAUGGGGAGCGAACAGG
rnacentral:rRNA from 1 species